UCCUGUGUCACAUUUUCAGUCAAUCUUUGCAGCAAGGUGGUAUCCUAGAGAGACUGAAGUUUUCUUUUGUGAAACCACUUUCUCACAUAUAAAAUUCUGUGAAAAGCCUUUCACUGUGUAGACUACAACAUUUUCUUAAUGUGGACUGAUUUUUAUGGCUCAAGUGGUAGCAUUGGGAAGUGGACUGAAUCAUAUCUACACAAUAGAAAGCAAAAUCUGAUUCUUGUUGGUAUUGAUGACUGUCCUGUUUCAUCUGACUAAGGCUCAGUAAACUGUGGACUCCCACAAGGUUACAUUUUGGAGAUUUUACUGUUUCAUAUCUUCAUGAAUUAUCUCCCACUUUGUGCAAACACUGAGAUCAAAUUAACUCUUUUUGCUGAUGAUACUACUAUUCUGCAUGAAAGCUCAGCAAUCAGUGAACUAGAAAAGAAAUGAAGUGUUGUAACUGUAGACAUUUUACACUGGUUUCAGUCCAAUGGAUUAACUCUAAAUAUUGGAAAAAUUCAGUCUAUGGAAUUUCAUGCAUCUCACCAAGAAAAUGAAGCAAUCCACUUGAACUGUGAUAACCAAAAUGUGUUACAUUCAAAGUUCUUGGGCAAUGUAAUUGAUGGCAAACUAAACUGAUCUGCGCAUAUUCUAGACCAUCACCUUAUGCCUUGCUGUUGGUGACAUAAAUUCUAUCAAAGGUGCUUAUUUUGGCUUCACUCUGUCCUGUCAUAUGCUACAGUUUUUCGGGGGGUUAUCAAUGUUUAACCAAAAAACUCUUUAUAAUCCAAAAGAGAGCAGUGAGAAUCAUGAGAGGUGUUUGGCCAAGACAUUCUUGCAGAAUCCUGUUCCUUAAGUUCCAAAUAUUAAAUGCCACAACUCAGUACUUAUUUUCUUUGAUGAUUUUUUUUUUU